rnacentral:rRNA from 1 species
CCUACGGGAGGCAGCAGUGGGGAAUAUUGCACAAUGGGGGAAACCCUGAUGCAGCGACGCCGCGUGAGUGAAGAAGUAUUUCGGUAUGUAAAGCUCUAUCAGCAGGGAAGAAAAUGACGGUAACUGAUUAAGAAGCCCCGGCUAACUACGUGCCAGCAGCCGCGGUAAUACGUAGGGGGCAAGCGUUAUCCGGAUUUACUGGGCGUAAAGGGAGCGUAGACGGCAGCACAAGUCUGGAGUGAAAUGCUGGGGCUUAACCCUAGAACUGCUUUGGAAACUGUGCAGCUAGAGGACCGGAGAGGUAAGUGGAAUUCCUGGUGUAGCGGUGAAAUGCGUAGAGAUUAGGAGGAACACUAGUGGCGAAGGCGGCUUACUGGACUGUAACUGACGUUGAGGCUCGAAAGCGUGGGGAGCAAACAGGAUUAGAUACCCGAGUAGUC